rnacentral:rRNA from 1 species
UACGUAGGGGGCUAGCGUUGUCCGGAUUUAUUGGGCGUAAAGAGCGUGUAGGCGGCCAGGUAGGUCUGGUGUGAAAACUCGAGGCUUAACCUCGAGAUGUCAUCGGAAACCAUCUGGCUAGAGUCCGGAAGAGGAGAGUGGAAUUCCUGGUGAAGCGGUGAAAUGCGCAGAUAUCAGGAAGAACACCAAUGGCGAAAGCAGCUCUCUGGGACGGUACUGACGCUGAGACGCGAAAGCGUGGGGAGCGAACAGG